rnacentral:rRNA from 1 species
AUUGAACGCUGGCGGCAGGCCUAACACAUGCAAGUCGAACGGAGUGGCGGACGGGUGAGUAAUGUCUGGGAAACUGCACGAUGGAGGGGGAUAACUACUGGAAACGGUAGCUAAUACUGCAUACUAUCAGAUGAGCCUAGGUCGGAUUAGCUAGUUGGUGGGGGAAAGGCCUACCCAGGCGACGAUCCGUAACUGGUCUGAGAGGAGGAUCAGUCAAACUGUAACUGAGACACGGUCCAGACUCCUACGGGAGGCAGCAGUGGGGAAGAUUGGACAAUGGGCGAAAGCCUGAUCCAGCCAUGCCGCGUGUGUGAAGAAGGUCUUCGGAUUGUAAAGCACUUUAAGUUGGGAGGCGUUACCAACAGAAUAAGCACCGGCUAACUUCGUGCCAGCAGCCGCGGUAAUAC